GCUGACCUGUUAAAUCCAACCCAACCCCAGUGUCUAGUUCAAAUGUUAUGUCCCCAGAUCAAGCCACAGAAAAUGACAUGUCUUCCUCCGAAUCCUAGAAUUCGGUAGUGUGAUUUAGGGCACUUUCUGACGUUGUUAACUUAAUGCCCAGAUUAUAAACCAGAUUUUGACCCUAGAUGAUACAAUCUCUAAAUAUAAGGCUGUGUUUUCUUCAUAUUUGCUUUCCACAGUGCCUAAUUGUGUGCUUUCCAAAUAGCAGAUGAUGAAUAUUAUUAUUGAGCAAUUAUGGAACUUUAGCCUAAAUCGCUCCAACAGAUUUACUAAGUGUCCCUUGAAUUCUCCUAGCUGUAAGCAUUGGAAGUUCAGCCUAGAUUAGCCAGUACUGCAUUCUUUACAGAUCUGUUUCCCACAGUUUCUAUCUACUCGUAUCACUGGAGGAAGUUCAUAUUCAUUAAUCUUAUAGCUUUUCUUAUAAACUGCUCCGUAGAGAAACUCAGUAAAAAAACACUCACAUGGUCCCUUCAAAAGAAAAAAGAAAAAAGUAACUAGAGGCUAGAUGGUAUCAAGCUAGUGAAAAAUGAUAUUGAACUAUGUUAAAUGACAUAUGAGUAAGUGUUAAACAAAAACACCCAUCUGGAUUUUUCUCAAGGUAAAUGUUUUUUUCUGCCCGUAUAAAUCACUAAAGCCAUUAUUCACUGUAUUCUUAUUCUGUCUCUUAUAGGUAUCCUUCUAGUUUCCACUGACAAGUGACAAGAAAUAUUAAUUGUGAGCAAAGGUUUAAUUAUAUAUUGGGAAAUAAGGUACCUGAGAGAUACAUCUCUAGUGACUGAGAGCAGAUUUCUAAAACUGACUGAACCUCAGCCACUCUGUGCAUCUGAAUUUUCUUUCUGCAUUAAUGAAAAUGGCCAAAUAGUUCAAACAGAUUUUUUUUUUUAACUGUGUACUAUUAGCUUCAUACCCUGUUGGCAAAGCAGGAAGUAAAAAAAAUAAAAUAAAAUAAAAAGCCAAGAUUUCUGCUAAUGAUGACCCUACAAAGGAAACAGGUUUAAUUCAUAUCCAUGGCAGCAUGAGGAGUAAGAGUGGGAUGGCUUUCCUGGUUGCUGGUUCCUCGAGCUUCUUUUUUUUGUACUAUGUCAACCUAUGGACUAUCUUGGGGUUUUACAUAUGUUGUCUCUUUUCCAACUAGAUAACCCAGUUACUGUACCUAUGUGAUCGUUAUAAAAUGCUGCGGAGUAUGCCAGUGGGUUAAGGUAACCAUGAUGCUAGAAAAAAAUAAGCAAAUACUAGAUUUAUCAGUGCUUAAAGUCCUUUGGCCAUUUCUGUCAACUUCGCUUCAGUCUCUGUCUUCUAGCCUCUUGGUGAAGUUACUCCUCCUGUACUUCUUUCUCAAAGGUAAAAAAAAAAAAAAAAAAAA
rnacentral:lncRNA from 1 species